UCCUAUUGAUAUCAUGUCCACUGUGAAUAUUUCCAAAGGAACAGUCAAAAUCGUACGGGGAUCAGAGGGAUGGGGUGCAAGCUCUAAUAAUGCCACAGACUAGCCUAUAUCCUCAGAGAAGGCAUUUGGGCCCAGUGACCUCAGUGAUCUCAACUGUAAGUAGAGACAGCUGCUUCACCACCUGGAGAUAAGGAGACUGAGGCUUGAGGAAGUUAAGAAACUUGCCUGAUACACUGCAAACAUGUGACCAAGUGGAAAUUUGAACCCCCGUUCCCUCUCCCUUCAAUGUCCCUAACUUUUCCAGAGCAUUUUUCCAGUGGCAGAAUUCACAACUCUUCUACCUUCAUAGGAAUCAGAAGAUUUGAGGAGCAAGACCACUUAAUACAAGGGAUGUCCUCUCCAGUUCUCCACUCUCUCCUCUCCCGCUUCUAGCUCUGACAUCGCAUUUCCCUGGCCUUUCUGAUUGUAUUUCCCAUCGGCGUUAAAGUCACUCUCUCCUCUGAGCUUCCU